CUCCUACGGGAGGCAGCAGUGAGGAAUAUUGGUCAAUGGUCGCAAGACUGAACCAGCCAUGCCGCGUGCAGGAUGACGGUCCUAUGGAUUGUAAACUGCUUUUGUACGGGAAGAAACACUCCUACGUGUAGGGGCUUGACGGUACCGUAAGAAUAAGGAUCGGCUAACUCCGUGCCAGCAGCCGCGGUAAUACGGAGGAUCCGAGCGUUAUCCGGAAUCAUUGGGUUUAAAGGGUCCGUAGGCGGCCCUGUAAGUCAGCGGUGAAAUCUCCCGGCUCAACCGGGAAACUGCCGUUGAUACUGCAGGGCUUGAAUUGCCGGGAAGUAACUAGAAUAUGUAGUGUAGCGGUGAAAUGCUUAGAUAUUACAUGGAAUACCGAUUGCGAAGGCAGGUUACUACCGGCGUAUUGACGCUGAUGGACGAAAGCGUGGGGAGCGAACAGGAUUAGAUACCGCUGG
rnacentral:rRNA from 1 species